GCAUAUCAAUAAGCGGAGGAAAAGAAACCAACCGGGAUUGCCUUAGUAACGGCGAGUGAAGCGGCAAAAGCUCAAAUUUGAAAUCUGGCACCUUUGGUGUCCGAGUUGUAAUUUGAAGAAGUAACUUUGGGGCUGAUCCUUGUCUAUGUUCCUUGGAACAGGACGUCAUAGAGGGUGAGAAUCCCGUGUGGCGAGGAAUUCAGUCCUAUGUAAAGUGCUUUCGACGAGUCGAGUUGUUUGGGAAUGCAGCUCUAAGUGGGUGGUAAAUUCCAUCUAAAGCUAAAUAUUGGCGAGAGACCGAUAGCGAACAAGUACAGUGAUGGAAAGAUGAAAAGAACUUUGAAAAGAGAGUGAAAAAGUACGUGAAAUUGUUGAAAGGGAAGGGCAUUUGAUCAGACAUGGUGUUUUGCGACCCUAGCUCCUUGUGGGUUGGGAUCUCGCAGCUCACUGGGCCAACAUCAGUUUUGGCGGUGGGAUAAAUCCUUAGGAAUGUAGCUUGUCUUCGGAGAAGUGUUAUAGCCUAGGGGAAUACCGCCAGCCGGGACUGAGGACUGCGACUUUUGUCAAGGAUGUUGGCAUAAUGGUUAAAUGCCGCCCGUCUUGAAACACGGACCAAGGAGUCUAACGUCUAUGCGAGUGUUUGGGUGUAAAACCCGUACGCGUAAUGAAAGUGAACGUAGGUGAGGGCCUCUUUAGAGGUGCAUCAUCGACCGAUCCUGAUGUUUUCGGAUGGAUUUGAGUAAGAGCAUAGCUGUUGGGACCCGAAAGAUGGUGAACUAUGCCUGAAUAGGGUGAAGCCAGAGGAAACUCUGGUGGAGGCUCGUAGCGGUUCUGACGUGCAAAUCGAUCGUCGAAUUUGGGUAUAGGGGCGAAAGACUAAUCGAACCAUCUAGUAGCUGGUUCUUGCCGAA
rnacentral:rRNA from 1 species